rnacentral:rRNA from 1 species
UACGGGGGGGGCAAGCGUUGUUCGGAAUUACUGGGCGUAAAGGGCGCGUAGGCGGCCUGCUAAGUCGGACGUGAAAUCCCCAGGCUCAACCUGGGAACUGCGUCCGAUACUGGAUGGCUUGAAUUCGGGAGAGGGAUGCAGAAUUCCAGGUGUAGCGGUGAAAUGCGUAGAUAUCUGGAGGAAUACCGGUGGCGAAGGCGGCAUCCUGGACCGACAUUGACGCUGAUGAGCGAAAGCCAGGGGAGCAAACGGG